GGGGAAUUCUGGACAAUGGGCGCAAGCCUGAUCCAGCAAUGCCGCGUGCAGGAAGAAGGCCUUCGGGUUGUAAACUGCUUUUGUCAGGGAAGAAAUCCUCUAGGUUAAUACCCUUGGGGGGAUGACGGUACCUGAAGAAUAAGCACUGGCUAACUACGUGCCAGCAGCCGCGGUAAUACGUAGGGUGCAAGCGUUAAUCGGAAUUACUGGGCGUAAAGCGUGCGCAGGCGGCUUUGCAAGACAGAUGUGAAAUCCCCGGGCUCAACCUGGGAACUGCAUUUGUGACUGCAAGGCUAGAGUACGGUAGAGGGGGAUGGAAUUCCGCGUGUAGCAGUGAAAUGCGUAGAUAUGCGGAGGAACACCAAUGGCGAAGGCAAUCCCCUGGACCUGUACUGACGCUCAUGCACGAAAGCGUGGGGAGCAAAC
rnacentral:rRNA from 1 species